GUGAGACCUUUUGGGAAUGCCAACUAAUGACAAGAAUGAGAAAGAAACCAAGCAAUUAAAAAAAGUACAAUAACAGUUUCUUCAAAAUAGGGUUUCUUGUAUGGUUGUUGUCAAGACACAUUGAUAUAUUCCUGAUAUCUCAGCACCUAAAUGAGCUAAGAAAAAUAAUAUGGGUACCUAGAUGAUAAGUAACCAUAGAAGUUAAGGCAGAUAAAAAAACUGUCAAUUAAAACUAUUUACUAAAACUUUCAUGCUAAUUUACUUCCCAACAGGCAUCUGUAUAGUAUAAUGGAUGACUUCCAUAAUACUUGAGGGAAGAUCAUAGACAUACUGAAAUAGACGUUUAGUUUCACAGAACCCUAAAGUAGAAACACUUGGAGAAAUACUAUCAAGAUAAAUUUAUCGAUGGAAAUGUGACUAUGAAGAGAAGAAUCACCAGUGGCCACAAAUUGAUGGGUUCAUUACUGAAUAUCCAGAUGGCACUGGCAGUCCAUGGAUGCAUGAGGAACCUAUGCCAUUAAAGUUCCGUAAUAUGCUCCCACCUAUAUAGACCAGCAAUACAGGCAUUAUAAAGAAUUGUGAUUCACUACUGUGCAAGUGCCAAAUGGUUAUCAGUCUAACUGAGGACCCAUAUAACCUAAGACAAAGGCAGCUAAAUGAAUAACAUCUAUCCACUAUUAUUUAUUUUAUUUCUUCUAGUAUAAAGUUGAGGCCAUACCGAUCCUUGAAUGUAGAGCCGACGCUUCCCCCCCAAUUUUCAUGCUCAGAAUCCCUUCACCAAGUCCCUUGAUCAACUAUUCUAGUCAUUCAAAUUGAAAAUCAGAGAUAGUGCAGAACAAAAUCAUGUGGCACAAACAUUCGUCUUUUUAAAGAAAGUAUAUCACAUUCUUAUUACUAAAGAUUUAUUUUUUACAGACUGCAUGGUUGAUGAUGUAACAACCUCAUCCAGCAAAACCUCACUGCUCUAACUUAAGAUAUUUGUGUUCUGGUUGUCAAUGUUAACUUACUGUGCAGUGCUAUGAUAUAAAGUGAUUCAGGGAUCAUUUUGCAAUAUAAGGAUGGCAAUGUCUGUCCAGUCUCUAGGCUUCAAAUCCUAUUGAAAUGGUUGGC
rnacentral:misc_RNA from 1 species